AGUGAACGCUGGCGGUAGGCCUAACACAUGCAAGUCGAACGGCAGCACAGUAAGAGCUUGCUCUUACGGGUGGCGAGUGGCGGACGGGUGAGGAAUACAUCGGAAUCUACCUUUUCGUGGGGGAUAACGUAGGGAAACUUACGCUAAUACCGCAUACGACCUACGGGUGAAAGCAGGGGAUCUUCGGACCUUGCGCGAUUGAAUGAGCCGAUGUCGGAUUAGCUAGUUGGCGGGGUAAAGGCCCACCAAGGCGACGAUCCGUAGCUGGUCUGAGAGGAUGAUCAGCCACACUGGAACUGAGACACGGUCCAGACUCCUACGGGAGGCAGCAGUGGGGAAUAUUGGACAAUGGGCGCAAGCCUGAUCCAGCCAUACCGCGUGGGUGAAGAAGGCCUUCGGGUUGUAAAGCCCUUUUGUUGGGAAAGAAAAGCAGCAGGUUAAUACCCCGCUGUUCUGACGGUACCCAAAGAAUAAGCACCGGCUAACUUCGUGC
rnacentral:rRNA from 1 species